rnacentral:sRNA from 1 species
CUCUUUCCUGAAUCCCCAAGCUUAGCCAGGUGUGGGUAACACUGCCCAGUUUUGCCAUAGGUGUCCCCACUGGUGGCCUAUAGGACAGCCAUGACUUUAUAGGGAAGACUGAUGAUGAAGGUUUCCCUGUGAUGUGUGGCCCCCACCAGAUUCCUUCCACUCCCCCACAUGCCCCUUGCUCCUAAGGAGACUGCCAGGUCUGUUGGAAGCUACCCCUACAGAGUGUGUGGUAGGAUGCCCCUGUCUGAUCCCGGGCAAGUCACUUAAUCUGUCUAAGCUAGCCUCCCUGGGAGUUGAUGUGAAAUGUCGUGGAAUGGAGCCUGCCACGUAAGUGUGCUACGGAAGUGUUAGCAUGUAUGUAAAUAGGGACCCAGAGGAGUGAAACCAUGUCAUAUCUGCCCCACCAACUGACAGGAUUGUUGUGGGUAUCAACGAGGCAGUGAAGGAAAGUAUUGUGUUUGCUUUGGCUCCUCCCACUUUCUGUUUGUUGUUGGGAAUGUUACUGAGCGUCUCUCAGCCUCAGUUAUACCACCUAAAAUGGAGAUAAUGCCAGUGCCCAGUUUAUAGGGUCGUGAAGACUAAAUAAAGUGAUGUCCGCAAAGCACUAACACCAAACCUGGCCCACAGUGCUAAGUGUCAGGUUGAUUAUUCAGGUACAGGAAGCUUUAUAGAAGCAGCACACUUUGUCAGCCACCUUUGGAGAUACCACAGAAUGGUUACGUGAUGUGCCCAGAGUUGCCUGGCUGGUCGAUUUCAGGGCUGAUAACCAGAUCUUCUGACUUCUGCUGUCACUCUCAGCUCCUUGAUUUCUCCCAAGUACUGAGGAGUCAGAAAGCUAGCCUGUCAUUUGUUUCCCUUGCUCCCAGGAGUGUGGCCAUCUGGGGCUGUGUGGUAUUUGCCACUCAGGAGACAUGUCCCUAUGACAUAGCAGUGGUGAGCCUGGAGGAGGACCUGGAUGAUGUCCCCAUCCCUGUGCCCGCUGAGCACUUCCACGAAGGCGAGGCUGUGAGUGUGGUGGGCUUUGGCAUCUUUGGCCAGGCUUGCGGGCCCUCGGUGACCUCAGGCAUCCUUUCGGCUGUGGUGCAGGUGAAUGGCACGCCCGUAAUGCUGCAGACCACGUGUGCUGUGCACAGCGGCUCCAGUGGGGGACCCCUCUUCUCCAACCACUCAGGAAACCUCCUUGGCAUAAUCACCAGCAACACCCGGGACAAUAACACGGGGGCCACCUACCCCCACCUGAACUUCAGCAUUCCCAUCACGGUGCUCCAGCCGGCCCUGCAGCAGUACAGCCAGACCCACGACCUGGGUGGCCUCCGUGAGCUGGACCGUGCUGCUGAGCCUGUCAGGGUGGUGUGGCGGCUGCAGCGGCCCCUGGCAGAGGCCCCGAGGAGCAAGCUCUGAGGCUGUGUUACCACCUUUGGAAAGAAGAGUGACCUUUUUCUGCUGUAGGAAGUGAUGUUGAGGUGAUGGUGGCCUCAGGAUUCAGGGCCCAGCCCCUGCAGGGGCCCGGGCUACCUCUCAUCUCCACCCAGUGACUGCAGUCUGGGCUUUGGGCUCUGGGGCAAACUUCUCUUCAGCCCCAUGGAUCCUUAACCUGGCAGCCCGUUUUGGGGUGCUUUCUUGAGCCCCCAGUUCUCUGUCCCCUAGCACUAGACUCAGCUGUAUUGUUUUUCCUUCUGGGGAGCCCACUCCAACUGCACAGAAGUUCUGGGCCUGACAGGUAGAUGCCAGCUGGAAGGCAGGCCCAUGCCUGGUUUUGUGUCUGUUCCCCUGAGGGCCAUUGUCAUCCUGGAGCUUCAAUGGGGCCUUGGCUCCUGUCUGCCUCUCAGUCAGAGUCAGGGCUGACAGAGGACUCAGCUUCCUUAGCAUCUCAUCAGAAACCUUGCUGUGAAGACCAGAGACAGAAGGGACAGAAACAGGAGUGCCUCCUGCUGUGCCAGGCCCGUGGGCAGUGCAGGCAGAUCCCUGAAGGUCAGCACUCCUGGGUCUUCAUAAGCCAACAGGGGCGCUCUUGACACUGUGCCUUUGUUUUCCAGCCCACAGCCUGGGUCUCAGGGAUCUUGAGGGGUAGAACAUGUCUGGUUGGGGCUUGGGAAUAAACCUGAUCUAUUGAAAAACCUCUGUAUUUAUAUAUCAAAUUGUUGCUUUUUUUCAGGAGUUGAACUGGGAAUAGGCGAGUACCAGGCAAAGAAACACACCCUUUCCUUUUUUUUUUUUUUUUUUUUUAGAGCUGUGGUCUUGCUCUCUCACCCAGGCUGGAGUGCAGUGUUGCGAUCAUGGCUCACUGCAGCCUCAAACUCCUGGGCUCCAGGAGACCUCCUGCCUCAGCCUCCUGAAUAGCUGGGACUACAGUCGCGCACCACCACGCCUGGCUAAUUUUUUAUUUUUGUAGAAUGGAGGUAUUGCUUUGUUGCCCGUGCUGGCUUCAGCCUUCUGGUUUCAAGCAGUCCUCCUGCCUCAGCUUCCCAAAGUGCUGGGAUUACAGGUGUGAGCCACUGUGCCCAACCCAGAAAUACACCGUUUCUGUGCUGUUUUCUCAGCAGGGUGUGAGCUCAUGGGAUACGGUCCUGCCAGACUGGCCCUCAUAGCUGUUCAUGUGCCAGUCAGAGCUGGGUGGGGCUUGCAGGUCCCGGAAGGUGGUGGUCUUGACCUGGCAGCAGGUGCUUAAAGAAUGCCUAAGGUGGGUGUCAGCUGGGGAGUUCAAGGGUGAAUGAGGCCAGGGCAACCCCCGGGAGCUGAGGCCAACUCUUUGAGUCAGGACUGUGCCGUGUGCCCAGGGCCCUGCAUGUGUGGGCCCUCGAGUGAUUUCUACUGGCAGGCUGAAAGCCCUGUGAGGGGCGGCUGUGGGCGGAGGCCACGCAGGAAGAGUGCUUAGGAGUAACUUGUUUCUAACACCUGUGUGCUGAGUGCCAGUGCUGGGUGUGGUGUUAUGAUAUAUAUUGGUUUUCAUCCAGCAUUCCUGACUCGUAACGCUCAUAGUCCUUGUUCCAGUCUUUGUUAGAAUGUUGGGUAUGUUAGGGCUCAGGGGGCAGGCCUCUGACCUCUGGGUAUCCUUUCACUAACGUUCGCCCACCUUUUUGACAGUGGGUCCUAAAGACCUUCCCAUGAGAGGGUCUCAAUCCUGGGGGAAGGAAUGCUGAUGUCAUGAAGCUUCCAUAAAAACCCAAGAGGACAGGGUUCAGAGAGCUUCUGGAUAGCUGAACACCUGGCGCUUCCUGGCAUGUGGCGUGCCCAGGGAGGGCACGGAAGCUCUGCACUCCUUCCCCUUUCCUCAUUCCUUGCUCUAUGUGCGUCUCUUCAUCUGUAUCCUUUGCGAUAUCCUUUAUAAUAAACCAGUAAACAUAA